rnacentral:rRNA from 1 species
GACGAACGCUGGCGGCGUGCUUAACACAUGCAAGUCGAACGGUGAAGGUGGGAGCUUGCUCCCGCUGGAUCAGUGGCGAACGGGUGAGUAACACGUGAGUAACCUGCCCUUGACUCUGGGAUAAGCGUUGGAAACGACGUCUAAUACCGGAUACGAGCUUCAGCCGCAUGGCCAGGAGUUGGAAAGAUUUUUCGGUCAAGGAUGGACUCGCGGCCUAUCAGCUUGUUGGUGAGGUAAUGGCUCACCAAGGCGACGACGGGUAGCCGGCCUGAGAGGGUGACCGGCCACACUGGGACUGAGACACGGCCCAGACUCCUACGGGAGGCAGCAGUGGGGAAUAUUGCACAAUGGGCGCAAGCCUGAUGCAGCAACGCCGCGUGAGGGACGACGGCCUUCGGGUUGUAAACCUCUUUUAGCAGGGAAGAAGCGCAAGUGACGGUACCUGCAGAAAAAGCACCGGCUAACUACGUGCCAGCAGCCGCAGUAAAAC